GACGAACGCUGGCGGCGUGCUUAACACAUGCAAGUCGAACGGAAAGGCCCUGCAUUUGUGGUGUUCUCGAGUGGCUAACGGGUGAGUAACAAGUGAGUAACCUGCCCUUUACUUUGGGAUAACUUCAGGAAACUGGGGCUAAUACCGCAUAGUAGCUCCUGCUGCAUGGUGGGGGUUGGAAAGUUUCGGCGGUUGGGGAUGGACUCGCGGCUUAUCAGCUUGUUGGUGGGGUAGUGGCUUACCAAGGCUUUGACGGGUAGCCGGCCUGAGAGGGUGACCGGCCACAUUGGGACUGAGAGACGGACCAGACUCCUACGGGAGGCAGCAGUGGGGAAUAUUGCACAAUGGGCGGAAGCCUGAUGAAGAAACGCCGGGGGCGGGAUGAAGGCCUUCGGGUUGUAAACCGCGUAAGCCUGUGACGAAGCGUGAGUGACGGUAAUGGGUAAAGAAGCACCGGCUAACUACGUG
rnacentral:rRNA from 1 species